rnacentral:rRNA from 1 species
AUGGAACAACCAGAUGGGUUUGUACGAGUGGCUGGUGUCAUUCUGAACAUCAAGUUGUUGAGAGACGAUGAUGGUGGAAUUACAUUGCUUCAAUCUCACUAUGUGGAAAAGAUCUUGAGUCGCUUUGGCUAUAGUGACUGCAAGCCCUCUCCAACACCAUAUGAUGCGAGUGUGUUACUUCGAAAGAAUCGAAGAAUUGCUAGAGACCAAUUGAAGUAUUCUCGGAUUAUUGGCUCGCUUAUGUACUUAGCCAGUGCCACAAGACCUGACAUCUCUUUUGCUGUUAGCAAACUGAGACGGGUUGUUUCAAAACCAGGAGAUAUGCAUUAA